UCCAAAAAAAGCUCUCAACCCCUCAGUUCUCCGGCCUAGGUCCAGGCACCGGCCGAUCAUCGGCCACCGCUCCGGCCGCCGAUCUUCGGUGACGACACUGUCGUCUGCGGUGGCCGAAAAAGGGGAGAAUCUCAUAUCCGGUCUUUCCGAAGCCCCUAAACGCAAAUCUGGGCUCAAAACCCUUAAAAGAUUAGUAGAAACGCCUCAAAAGUCCAAGAAAUCUUUCGGUUUCCUGCCGUCUUUUCUCGGAGACAGCUUCCUCGGCCGUUCACGGUGAUUUGGGCUCAAAACACAAGUGAGGAUCGCUCGAGGCUCGUGGCUCGUGGCUGCGGCGCUGUUGAAACCCUAGGGUUUCUGAGUGUCAUUUGGGGGUUAAUUUUUUGGCCUCUGUUUGGUUUGGAUUUGGCCCUAUAGGACCGUUGUAGUUUGGGCUUUUUAGACCCGGGCCAAAAUAGGGUGUUACAUUGCAUUUGGGUUCAAAAAUACUUUUAACUUCAAAUUUUGUAUAUUUAGCCUUACUUAUAGUUCUAAAUGUACUUUUGGGGCUUAAAAGCACUUUUCAAAAGUAAUGCUAAAUAAAGUCUUAACCAAA